UUUCCCCAUGUUCCUCUUCACCACCCUUCAACUCCAAACUCUCCAAAGGCGUUUCACAAUCUGCCCCUUGAUCCGCAUGUGACAUUUCCAGAUUCCUCGUCAAGGACAUCCUAUACUCUGCAUUCCAUAGUGUAUAAUUACCCAGUGAUGAUAGAAGAAACAAGUAACCGAUGAAGAGGUUGAAUCUCAAAACUAACAGUAACAUCAAAAUGAUCAGAAGGUAACAAACCAAGCAUAGUAGAAAUAGUUUGUUUCAUAGAAUCUUUAGAAGCUUCAGAAACACCUUUAGAGAUAACGGAGUUAUCGAGAGGUUUGAUACGUCGAAGCAUUUUAGAUAUCACUGUGAAGCCACGGUUGAACGUUGAUUUACGCGUUGAAACAACGUCGUCUCCGUCGACGUGGUGACAGGAAGUCGCGAAGAGAAAGGGUCGACGGUGGGGGGGACGGCGGAGGAAGAAGAGAGAGGGGAGAGGGUGGUGGAGAGAUGGGUGAGAUGGGUUGUUGGUGAUGCGUGAGAGGAUGAAGGGUUGAGAUGAAAUUGUUGAUGCUGCCAUGGAAGGAAGAAGAAGAACAACAACAACAACAACAGAGUAACGAUGAAAUCGUUGUUGUGUAUGAAAAGGAACAAGAACCUUAG
rnacentral:lncRNA from 1 species